rnacentral:rRNA from 1 species
AUUGAACGCUGGCGGCAUGCCUUACACAUGCAAGUCGAACGGCAGCACGGGGCAACCUGGUGGCGAGUGGCGAACGGGUGAGUAAUGCAUCGGAACGUACCUUUCAGUGGGGGAUAACGUAGCGAAAGUUACGCUAAUACCGCAUAUUCUGUGAGCAGGAAAGCAGGGGAUCGCAAGACCUUGCGCUGAUUGAGCGGCCGAUGUCAGAUUAGCUAGUUGGUGAGGUAAAGGCUCACCAAGGCGACGAUCUGUAGCGGGUCUGAGGGGAUGAUCCGCCACACUGGAACUGAGACACGGCCCAGACUCCUACGGGAGGCAGCAGUGGGGAAUUUUGGACAAUGGGGGCAACCCUGAUCCAGCCAUGCCGCGUGAGUGAAGAAGGCCUUCGGGUUGUAAAGCUCUUUCGGCCGGGAAGAAAUCGCACAGGCUAAUACCUUGUGUGGAUGACGGUACCGGAAUAAGAAGCACCGGCUAACUACGUGCCAGCCGCCGCAGUAACAC